rnacentral:tRNA from 1 species
UGGGGAAUAGUGUAAUGGUAGCACAAAUGACUCUGGAUCAUUUAGUCAAGGUUCGAAUCCUUGUUCCCCAG